GACGAACGCUGGCGGCGUGCUUAACACAUGCAAGUCGAACGGAAAGGCUCCAGCUUGCUGGAGUACUCGAGUGGCGAACGGGUGAGUAACACGUGGGUAAUCUGCCCUGCACUCUGGGAUAAGCCUGGGAAACUGGGUCUAAUACUGGAUAUGACCUUUCUCCUUAUGGGGUUUGGUGGAAAGUUUUUCGGUGUAGGAUGAGCCCGCGGCCUAUCAGCUUGUUGGUGGGGUGAUGGCCUACCAAGGCGACGACGGGUAGCCGGCCUGAGAGGGUGAUCGGCCACAUUGGGACUGAGGUACGGCCCAGACUCCUACGGGAGGCAGCAGUGGGGAAUAUUGCACAAUGGGCGGAAGCCUGAUGCAGCGACGCCGCGUGAGGGAUGACGGCCUUCGGGUUGUAAACCUCUUUCAGCAGGGACGAAGCGUAAGUGACGGUACCUGCAGAAGAAGCACCGGCUAACUACGUG
rnacentral:rRNA from 1 species